AUAACGUAGCGAAAGCUACGCUAAUACCGCAUACGAUCUAUGGAUGAAAANCGGGGGGGAUUACGCAAAGACCUCGCGCGAUUGGGAGCGGCCGAUAUCAGAUUAGGUAGUUGGUGAGGUAAAGGCUCACCAAGCCAACGAUCUGUAGCUGGGUCUGAGAGGACGACCAGCCACACUGGAACUGAGACACGGUCCAGACUCCUACGGGAGGCAGCAGUGGGGAAUUUUGGACAAUGGACGCAAGUCUGAUCCAGCCAUUCCGCGUGCAGGAUGAAGGCCCUCGGGUUGUAAACUGCUUUUGUACGGAACGAAGAGGUUUGUCUUAAUACGAUGAGCUCAUGACGGUACCGUAAGAAUAAGCACCGGCUAACUACGUG
rnacentral:rRNA from 1 species